GUUUUUUGAAUUUCAACAAAGAUUUCACGAACCAUUCAUAUUCUCACAUGCGUUGCUAUAAAAGAGUGCUAUAAAAAUUCAAAUUUUCGUGUGAAAGCUUUUAGCAAUUAUUUAGUACUUAAAAUAGUUUUAGGAUUUAUUAUAGAUGGCUCAUCAACUUUGACAUAUUGGUCAACUGUGGUUCUCGUAUAAAUUUAUUGAAUUGGUUGUUGUAAAGGUCGAAGACAAUUACAUUAUAAUUUUGAAGGUCUUUCGAACAUCUUAGAGAUAUAAUCCCUCAUUUCUCCAUCUACGUCGGCUUAGGGCAGAAGUUAGUUGCAGUGAUAUUUCAGUUAUUCCGUUUAGUUCAAGUGAAAUUUAUGUUCCGGCUCUUACAUCACCGGCAGCGAAAACUCUGCUCUCGAGCUUUGUUUAAUUAUUACAAAAGCGUCCGGCAGACGCUUUUUAUCUUGGGCUUAAGCCCUUUACAUUAUUCACCCGCCAUCUUGCGGAAUCCAGCCUACACCCUACACGUGGUUUCUUCCCGGAGUGGAUCUCGCCUUGGCCCGCCAAAAUUGGUAGUCAAACGGGGCCGAGUGAAUUGACUGGCCUGCCUGCGUUCGUUGGGUAGAGUACCGGUCCUGCCGACACCUCCGCCCCGCAUCUGUAGUUCGGCCGUUUGAGAAGCGAGUAUUCCCGGUGGCACGACCGCCGAUCGGCGCUGAGCUCUGACGCCGCCAUAAAGAACUCCGACGAGACAGCGUUCUGGGUACAUCGCAGCUCACUGGUGUGCCCCUCGGCUGAUGAACCGGUACCGCCGAAACCGCUCAACAUAAAAUCCUGCGCAGGUAUGUGUACGAUCAUGGCCAUGCACACAACACAACACCUACACUUACACAGUCACUCACGUUUUUUUAUGAAAAGAUGAACGAAUAUACAUAAUGAAUACAACAUAAA
rnacentral:lncRNA from 1 species